UACGUAGGGUGCGAGCGUUGUCCGGAAUUAUUGGGCGUAAAGAGCUCGUAGGCGGUGUGUCGCGUCGGCCGUGAAAACCUGCAGCUUAACUGUGGGCUUGCGGUCGAUACGGGCAUCACUGGAGUUCGGCAGGGGAGACUGGAAUUCCUGGUGUAGCGGUGAAAUGCGCAGAUAUCGGGAGGAACACCAGCGGCGAAGGCAGCUCGCUGGGACGUUACUGACGCUGAGACGCGAAAGCGUGGGGAGCGAACAGG
rnacentral:rRNA from 1 species